UCCGGUAUAGUGUAACGGCUAACAUAUCGCGUUUUCAUCAUCCCUCAAAAAGAGCUGAAAUACCGCGGGGCUCGGGGUUCGAUUCCCCGUACCGGAG
rnacentral:tRNA from 1 species